rnacentral:rRNA from 1 species
ACUCAAUAGAUACCCAGGUAGUCCUGGCAGUAAACGGUGCACGUUUGGUGUGGGCGCAAUCGACCGCGUCCGCGCCGUAGCUAACGCGUUAAGCGUGCCGCCUGGGAAGUACGGUCGCAAGAUUAAAACUCAAAGAAAUUGACGGGGACCCGCACAAGCGGUGGAGUAUGUGGCUUAAUUCGAUGCAACGCGAAGAACCUUACCUGGUCUUGACAUGCAUUGUGUCUCCGGUGAAAGCCGGAUAGGGUAGCAAUACCCGCUUUGCACAGGUGCUGCAUGGCUGUCGUCAGCUCGUGUCGUGAGAUGUUGGGUUUAAGUCCCGCAACGAGCGCAACCCCGUGUGAUUUAGUUGCCACCCGGGUUUACCGGUCGCACUCGAAUCAGACUGCCUCGAUCAACGA